ensembl:lncRNA
GUGAGUUCGUUGGAGAGUUUGAAGAGCUCACCCCAAACUGAGCGGCACUGGUCUCCACGGUCGUCUGUCUCAGCCUGUGCUGCUGAUUCAAGCAGCUUGUGCUCCACCACAGACUGUGUUUCCCAUGGUGUGUCUGAAUCUCUGCUGUUCUUCCUGUGGUGGACAUGCAGCUGCUGUGGAGUUGUUCUCAAACUGAUGAGCAGAGAAUAGACAGGAAAUUGUAUGGAAACAGUCACACAAGCUAGAGUCGAAUAUGUGUCGCCAGCUAGAGCAGAAUUGCAUCACUUUUGAACUGACCUAAAGGUAUGUUUUUAUAAGCCAGGAAUUUUUUGAACCAAUCAUGCACUAUGGUUAACAUUACCUAAAUUAACUCCUUGCAUAUUAUAAAUAUAGCUGUUCAUAACAAAUGGUUUAUACAGUACUAUUGUAACUCAAGUGUUACUUUAUUAUCUGAAAGCAAUGUUCUGCUGUGUCAAAUCUAG